AUAGUGACCUCAAAGGGUGUCUCAGCUUACUGCAAGUAUGGGCAUGGGAGAGGCUGCAUUUGAAGCCGAGACUAUGCGUGAAUUUACAAUUAGACGGACAAAUUCCACUAGGAUGCAGAUGGAAUGUCCAAAAAUGUUUUGACGAGACCCCGGCGAGACAGUUAGAUUUCUACCGAAAUGAGCUUGACCGCAUGAAGAUUUUUCAGAUGGAAUGGGAGCCCUACACCCCAUUUCUCGAUCAUCUACCCCCUAUAUGCACAGAAUACCCAGUUAUAUGGAGAGCCAGAGUUCCUCUAAUAUGUUUCGAGAUAGUAGAAAUGCAUGUACCGGACCGCGUGCUUCGACAAUUUG